AACGAACGCUGGCGGCAGGCUUAACACAUGCAAGUCGAACGCCCCGCAAGGGGAGUGGCAGACGGGUGAGUAACGCGUGGGAACAUACCCUUUCCUGCGGAAUAGCUCUGGGAAACUGGAAUUAAUACCGCAUACGCCCUACGGGGGAAAGAUUUAUCGGGAAGGAUUGGCCCGCGUUGGAUUAGCUAGUUGGUGGGGUAAAGGCCUACCUAGGCGACGAUCCAUAGCUGGUCUGAGAGGAUGAUCAGCCACAUUGGGACUGAGACACGGCCCAAACUCCUACGGGAGGCAGCAGUGGGGAAUAUUGGACAAUGGGCGCAAGCCUGAUCCAGCCAUGCCGCGUGAGUGAUGAAGGCCUUAGGGUUGUAAAGCUCUUUCACCGAUGAAGAUAAUGACGGUAGUCGGAGAAGAAGCCCCGGCUAACUUCGUGCCAGCCGCCGCCGUAAUAC
rnacentral:rRNA from 1 species